rnacentral:rRNA from 1 species
GUGGGGAAUAUUGGGCAAUGGGCGAAAGCCUGACCCAGCAACGCCGCGUGAAGGAAGAAGGUUUUCGGAUCGUAAACUUCUAUCCUUGGUGAAGAUAAUGACGGUAGCCAAGAAGGAAGCCCCGGCUAACUACGUGCCAGCAGCCGCGGUAAUACGUAGGGGGCAAGCGUUGUCCGGAAUGAUUGGGCGUAAAGGGCGCGUAGGCGGCCCGGUAAGUCUGAAGUGAAAGUCCUGCUUUUAAGGUGGGAAUUGCUUUGGAUACUGUCGGGCUUGAGUGCAGGAGAGGUAAGCGGAAUUCCCGGUGUAGCGGUGAAAUGCGUAGAGAUCGGGAGGAACACCAGUGGCGAAGGCGGCUUACUGGACUGUAACUGACGCUGAGGCGCGAAAGUGUGGGGAGCAAACAGGAUUAGAUACCCCUGUAGUCC